rnacentral:rRNA from 1 species
AGAGAGAGACAUGCGCGCAUAUCAAUAAGCGGAGGAAAAGAAACUAACAAGGAUUCCCCCUAGUAACGGCGAGUGAAGCGGGAAGAGCUCAAAUUUGAAAUCUUAAAGGGUUUCCCUUUACGAAUUGUAGUUUAAAGAAGUGUUUUCUGUUGAGGUUUUGGUAAAAGUUCUUUGGAAUAGGACAUCAUAGAGGGUGAGAAUCCCGUAUUUGACCUUUACUUUCAACUUUGUGAUACACUUUCAAAGAGUCGGAUUGUUUGGGAAUGCAGUCCAAAAUGGGUGGUAAAUUUCAUCUAAAGCUAAAUAUUGGCGAGAGACCGAUAGCGAACAAGUACCGUGAGGGAAAGAUGAAAAGAACUUUGAAAAGAGAGUUAAACAGUACGUGAAAUUGUCAAAAGGGAAGCGUUUGACACCAGUGUUGUUUAUCUGAAAAUCAAUUAAAGAACUGUUUAUGCUAAGCUUGUUUAGACUUUAUCAGCUAAUCUGUUUAGUUUUGAGCUUUUCUUUAAUGCACUUUUCAGUUAACAAGUCAACAUCAAUUUCUUUUGCUGUAAAAAAGCUUGAGGAAGGUGGCUUGAGAUUCGUCUUAAGUGUUUAUAGCCUCUUGCCUAUGCAGUCGGAGAGAUUGAGGUUUGCAGCGUAGAUCCUUCGGGGCUAAAUGCAUUUGUGCUAAGUUAUAGCAUUUUAUAGACAACUUGUUGACUAUGAUUUGUCUUGUAGCUUACUCGCUUAUGUUAUUUUACCUACGCUUAGGAUGUUGAGCGCAUGUCUCUCUCU